rnacentral:rRNA from 1 species
CCCAAACUCCUACGGGAGGCUGCAGUAGGAAUCUUCCACAAUGGGCGAAAGCCUGAUGGAGCAACGCCGCGUGUGUGAUGAAGGCUUUCGGGUCGUAAAGCACUGUUGUAUGGGAAGAAAAGUUAAGGUAGGGAAUGACCUUAGCCUGACGGUACCAUACCAGAAAGGGACGGCUAAAUACGUGCCAGCAGCCGCGGUAAUACGUAUGUCCCGAGCGUUAUCCGGAUUUAUUGGGCGUAAAGCGAGCGCAGACGGUUGGUUAAGUCUGAUGUGAAAGCCCGGAGCUCAACUCCGGAAAGGCAUUGGAAACUGGUUAACUUGAGUGCAGUAGAGGUAAGUGGAACUCCAUGUGUAGCGGUGGAAUGCGUAGAUAUAUGGAAGAACACCAGCGGCGAAGGCGGCUUACUGGACUGUAACUGACGUUGAGGCUCGAAAGUGUGGGUAGCAAACAGGAUUAGAUACCCUGGUAGUCCACACCGUAAACGAUGAACACUAGGUGUUAGGAGGUUUCCGCCUCUUAGUGCCGAAGCUAACGCAUUAAGUGUUCCGCCUGGGGAGUACGACCGCAAGGUUGAAACUCAAAGGAAUUGACGGGGACCCGCACAAGCGGUGGAGCAUGUGGUUUAAUUCGAAGCAACGCGAAGAACCUUACCAGGUCUUGACAUCCUUUGAAGCUUUUAGAAAUAGAAGUGUUCUCUUCGGAGACAAAGUGACAGGUGGUGCAUGGUCGUCGUCAGCUCGUGUCGUGAGAUGUUGGGUUAAGUCCCGCAACGAGCGCAACCCUUAUUGUUAGUUGCCAGCAUUCAGAUGGGCACUCUAGCGAGACUGCCGGUGACAAACCGGAGGAAGGCGGGGACGACGUCAGAUCAUCAUGCCCCUUAUGACCUGGGCUACACACGUGCUACAAUGGCGUAUACAACGAGUUGCCAACCUGCGAAGGUGAGCUAAUCUCUUAAAGUACGUCUCAGUUCGGACUGCAGUCUGCAACUCGACUGCACGAAGUCGGAAUCGCUAGUAAUCGCGGAUCAGCACGCCGCGGUGAAUACGUUCCCGGGUCUUGUACACACCGCCCGUCACACCAUGGAAGUUUGUAAUGCCCAAAGCCGGUGGCCUAACCGUAAGGAGGAACCGUCUAAGGCAGAC